ensembl:lncRNA
UUCGGGCAGGGGUUGUUUAUCGUAACACAAACGUCUCAUAACUGCCCUCAAACAGCUCAGCACCAGCGACUCGAGCUCGAUGACUAAUCUCGCGCUCCCCCAUCCAUAACUCAAGUCGACUUAUUUGAUUGACGGCUCCAUAUUUUUUUGUACGAUUUUUUCUCGGUGUCUCCAGAAAGGACAAAAACGGGGUAAUACAGACAGAGAGGAAAAGAGGGAGAGAAAAUAACAAACGCUGCUGGAAAGAAAGAGCGAGCUCAAGAGCACUGGGAGCGACCCAGGAACUUGGGCACGCUGACAUCAUAAUUAUUUUGCAUAAGAGGACAGCGUAACCGAUCACCAUGACGACUGAAAUGCAGGAGAUCGCCAUCACAGAGGAGAAGCCUAUAUAUAAUAACAUUAUUUAUAUAUCAAAUAAAAAUUAAUAUGUAAAACA